rnacentral:lncRNA from 1 species
UACUGUAAAGUGAAAAAAUGCAUGUAUAGAGCAAUGUGCGUCAUAUGCUGCUGGAGUGGAUGCUGUGCCAGCUCCAUCCAGAUCCCCUGGCUGCCGACAGUGUUGGAGUGUCCCCAAGUCCCUCUCCAGGGGCUGCCCAGGGCUGAAGAGAGCUGCCUCACCAAAGAUUACACCCACAUACAAUGAUGGAUCAGAGGCCUGCUCCCCUUAGCCCAAUUUGGGGCAACUCUGAAGGGCAUCCCAGCUCCAGAGCUCCCCGUGGGGCUGGCUGAGGCCUCAGCUGUAUUGCAUCCCAGUUUAAUUCCUCCCUCUGCGCAGUCCUGCUUCCCUCUCCCCCUCACAGAUGUUGGCCCCAGCGCACUCCCCAGUUAACUUCCUGCCCUGAGAUCUCCAUCUCAGAGUCUGUUUCUGUAGAACCAGCCUGCUACCGCUACUGUUUUGGGCAGAGCGGGGAGCCAUUAGAGAAUCACCAGCAUUCAGCACGAAGCCUCUGCCAGGCUGACGUCCUAGGUCACAGCACUAAAACCGGAGCAUUCAAGGUCACCCUCUGGCUUGUUGACAUUGCAGGAAGGGUGUUACUUCUUGUUCGUUUCAAACCCACUGAGACAUCCUGGACCCAAGCCGGGCCGUGAAAGAGAAGUGAUUCUUGCAGGGCACCCCUACUUGUGCGCUCCACGUUGUUUCCAAAGUGCAGAAGUCACUGCAGAACCUCGGGCCUCCGUGCUCACCCCAUUCAGUGUGGAGGACCGCAAAGUGCAGGGUGGUAUCUGCCCUCUGGUCAGGAGGAGUUUGAUGAGGAAGGAGCUGACCUUCCCGCCAGGCCGUUUCUGGGAAGACAUCGGAAAGCCUGGCCUCGCCCUGCCUUGGCGCUGCCGACCACCCAGCGAUUCAACACAUACUUGAGGGGGUGCUUUUCCAGAUGCUCCCUCCAAACAGAACUUUUGCCUCCACAACGAGCCAAGCCCUUGAUUUUAGAAGUUUCUUCCUCAUCCCGUUUAUGAAUAUCGAACUUAAACAUUCCAAGUGAGAGCAGAGGUGACUUUCUGAAGAACUGCUAAGUCAGCAAGAAUGCAGUUGGCAAAAGGGGAGAUUGGGAGUGGAGGCACUUCCCAGUUCUUGCAGAGCCUGGGGGACCAGUAAACACGUGAUGCCAACAAUUCUGGUCCUAGCCACACCAUAAAAUGCCUUUAUGAGGCUUGACUCUUCUCCAUAUACUAGAUCUCUCCCCAUUCCCAGACCUUUCUGCACCCCUGCCCUCCUCCCACCCCUUUCCUUGGAUGAUACUGAUUAAACACACAGUAUUUUCUCCAUUAUCAUUCUGCUGGCAGCCAUGUGCGUUAUCUGGAGGCGCAGUCUGGGCAGCGGAGGGUU